rnacentral:rRNA from 1 species
GAUGAACGCUGGCUACAGGCUUAACACAUGCAAGUCGAGGGGAAACGACGGGGAAGCUUGCUUCCCCGGGCGUCGACCGGCGCACGGGUGAGUAACGCGUAUCCAACCUGCCUCUGACUGAGGGAUAACCCGUCGAAAGUCGGCCUAAUACCUCAUGGUAUCGUCUGCGGGCAUCCAACGACGAUUAAAGAUUUCAUCGGUCAGGGAUGGGGAUGCGUCUGAUUAGCUUGUUGGCGGGGUAACGGCCCACCAAGGCUACGAUCAGUAGGGGUUCUGAGAGGAAGGUCCCCCACAUUGGAACUGAGACACGGUCCAAACUCCUACGGGAGGCAGCAGUGAGGAAUAUUGGUCAAUGGGCGAGAGCCUGAACCAGCCAAGUAGCGUGCAGGAAGACGGCCCUAUGGGUUGUAAACUGCUUUUAUGCGGGGAUAAAGUGAGGGACGGGUCCCUCAUUGCAGGUACCGCAUGAAUAAGGACCGGCUAAUUCCGUG